AUUGAACGCUGGCGGCAGGACUAACCCAUGCAAGUCGAGCGAGCGGCUGGCGGGUGAGUAAUGUAUGGGGACUGACCGCUAGAAGUGGAUAAAUACUGGAAACGGUGACUAAUACCGCAUACUGUAGUAUAAACCAUAUGGGAUUAGAUAGUAGGUAAGGUAAUGGAUUACCUUGGCGACGAUCCCUAGCUGGUCGGAGAGGAUGAUCCGCCACACGGGGACGGAGACACGGCCCAGACUCCUCCGGAGGCAGCAGUGGGGAAGAUGGCACAAUGGGGGCAAGCCUGAUGCAGCCAUGCCGCAUGUAUGAAGAAGGCCCUAGGGUUGUAAAGUACUUUCAGUCGGGAGGCGUUACCGACAGAAGAAGCACCGGCUAACUCCGUGCCAGCCGCCGCGGUAAUAC
rnacentral:rRNA from 1 species